GACGAACGCUGGCGGCGUGCUUAACACAUGCAAGUCGAACGGAAAGGCCCUGCUUUUGUGGGGUGCUCGAGUGGCGAACGGGUGAGUAACACGUGAGUAACCUGCCCUUGACUUUGGGAUAACUUCAGGAAACUGGGGCUAAUACCGGAUAGGAGCUCCUGCUGCAUGGUGGGGUUGGAAAGUUUCGGCGGUUGGGGAUGGACUCGCGGCUUAUCAGCUUGUUGGUGGGGUAGUGGCUUACCGAGGCUUUGACGGGUAGCCGGCCUGAGAGGGUGACCGGCCACAUUGGGACUGAGAUACGGCCCAGACUCCUACGGGAGGCAGCAGUGGGGAAUAUUGCACAAUGGGCGGAAGCCUGAUGCAGCAACGCCGCGUGCGGGAUGACGGCCUUCGGGUUGUAAACCGCUUUCGCCUGUGACGAAGCGUGAGUGACGGUAAUGGGUAAAGAAGCACCGGCUAACUACGUG
rnacentral:rRNA from 1 species